rnacentral:rRNA from 1 species
AUUGAACGCUGGCGGCAUGCUUUACACAUGCAAGUCGAACGGUAACAGGCCGCAAGGUGCUGACGAGUGGCGAACGGGUGAGUAAUGCAUCGGAAUGUGCCCAGUCGUGGGGGAUAACUGCUCGAAAGAGCAGCUAAUACCGCAUACGAUCUAUGGAUGAAAGCGGGGGAUCGCAAGACCUCGCGCGAUUGGAGCGGCCGAUAUCAGAUUAGGUAGUUGGUGGGGUAAAAGCCUACCAAGCCAACGAUCUGUAGCUGGUCUGAGAGGACGACCAGCCACACUGGGACUGAGACACGGCCCAGACUCCUACGGGAGGCAGCAGUGGGGAAUUUUGGACAAUGGACGCAAGUCUGAUCCAGCCAUGCCGUGUGCGGGAAGAAGGCCUUCGGGUUGUAAACCGCUUUUGUCAGGGAAGAAACGCUCUGGGUUAAUACCUCGGGGUAAUGACGGUACCUGAAGAAUAAGCACCGGCUAACUACGUGCCAGCCGCCGCAGUAAAAC